UUACGACCAUAUUACGUUGAAACACCGGUUCUCGUACGAUUACCGAAAUUAAGCAACAACGGGCCUGGUCUGUACAUAGAUGGGUGAUCGUUUGGAAAUAUCAGGUGCUGUAGG